GGAUAUUUCUCUUCAGUGGUAGAACAUCUGCUUUGCAUGCAGAAGAAUCUAGGUUCAGCCCCUGGUAUCUCCA